AGAUUCAAAUUCGAAUUGUGUACUAAAUAAGAAGGGGCAGCCAUUUUGUUAGGGUUUAGAACACACUGUGAUAGGGAAUUCUGAGCGAGACGAACGCAAAGAUAUUGAGUGAUAAUCAAAGUGAAAUUAUAUUGAUUUAGAAUUCGGAAUAUCGAAACUGAAGAUAUUCCGGCAAGAAUUUGAGACGCCACGUGCGAGAAAAAUUGACUAAAAAAGUUAUAUCUGACCUCAAGGACAAGCUGAAGAAUAGAGUAAAACGCGAUUGAAAGAGGGCUUUGCUCAGGUAAAAUUUGAGGUUAUAUUUUGAGUGAAAGCUUCAUGGCUGAUCCCUUUCUUACAGAUAAUCUUUAAUCCGUUGUACCUUUGAACCGUUGUACUUUUGAACCGUGGAAACUUUGUUACAUGAAUAAAUGAAUUUGGAAGAAAG